AUUCUGCCCAAGCGGGGAAGGAUGAGAAGCUUCGACUAAGGUUCGGCUCGAGCGCCAGCGAGAGAGCGUUGCCGCAGGCAACGACCCGAAGGGCGAAGCGCGCAGCGCUGAGUAAUCCUUCCCCCACCACCA
rnacentral:sRNA from 1 species